rnacentral:rRNA from 1 species
UGAUACUAAGCCAUGCGAGUCAUUGUAGCAAUACAAGGCAUACGGCUCAGUAACGCGUAGUCAACCUAACCUAUGGACGGGAAUAACCUCGGGAAACUGAGAAUAAUGCCCGAUAGAACAUUAUGCCUGGAAUGGUUUAUGUUCCAAAUGAUUUAUCGCCGUAGGAUGGGACUGCGGCCUAUCAGUUUGUUGGUGAGGUAAUGGCCCACCAAGACUAUUACAGGUACGGGCUCUGAGAGGAGUAGCCCGGAGAUGGGUACUGAGACACGGACCCAGGCCCUAUGGGGCGCAGCAGGCGAGAAAACUUUGCAAUGUGCGAAAGCACGACAAGGUUAAUCCGAGUGGUUUCUGCUAAAGGAACCUUUUGUCAGUCCUAGAAACACUGAUGAAUAAGGGGUGGGCAAGUUCUGGUGUCAGCCGCCGCGGUAAAACCAGCACCUCAAGUGGUCAGGAUGAUUAUUGGGCCUAAAGCAUCCGUAGCCGGCUCUGUAAGUUUUCGGUUAAAUCUGUACGCUCAACGUACAGGCUGCCGGGAAUACUGCAAAGCUAGGGAGUGGGAGAGGUAGACGGUACUCGGUAGGAAGGGGUAAAAUUCUUUGAUCUACUGAUGACCACCUGUGGCGAAGGCGGUCUACCAGAACACGUCCGACGGUGAGGGAUGAAAGCUGGGGGAGCAAACCGGAUUAGAUACCCGGGUAGUCCCAGCUGUAAACCAUGCAAACUCAGUGAUGCAUUGGCUUGUGGCCAAUGCAGUGCUGCAGGGAAGCCGUUAAGUUUGCCGCCUGGGAAGUACGUACGCAAGUAUGAAACUUAAAGGAAUUGGCGGGGGAGCACCACAAGGGGUGAAGCCUGCGGUUCAAUUGG